rnacentral:piRNA from 1 species
UGAUGCUCGCUUGUUUUCAGACAGGAAGGU